rnacentral:rRNA from 1 species
UACGGGGGGGGCAAGCGUUGUUCGGAAUUACUGGGCGUAAAGGGCUCGUAGGCGGCCAACUAAGUCGGACGUGAAAUCCCUCAGCUUAACUGGGGAACUGCGUCUGAUACUGGAUGGCUUGGAUUCGGGAGAGGGAUGCGGAAUUCCAGGUGUAGCGGUGAAAUGCGUAGAUAUCGAGAGGAACACCUGCGGCGAAGGCAGCUCGCUACACUAUUAUUGACACUGAGGCACGAAAGCGUGGGGAUCAAACAGG